rnacentral:rRNA from 1 species
AUUGAACGCUGGCGGCAGGCCUAACACAUGCAAGUCGAGCGGUAGCACAGAGAGCUUGCUCUCGGGUGACGAGCGGCGGACGGGUGAGUAAUGUCUGGGAAACUGCCUGAUGGAGGGGGAUAACUACUGGAAACGGUAGCUAAUACCGCAUAAUGUCGCAAGACCUAAGAGGGGGACCUUCGGGCCUCUUGCCAUCAGAUGUGCCCAGAUGGGAUCAGCUAGUAGGUGGGGUAACGGCUCACCUAGGCGACGAUCCCUAGCUGGUCUGAGAGGAUGACCAGCCACACUGGAACUGAGACACGGUCCAGACUCCUACGGGAGGCAGCAGUGGGGAAUAUUGCACAAUGGGCGCAAGCCUGAUGCAGCCAUGCCGCGUGUAUGAAGAAGGCCUUCGGGUUGUAAAGUACUUUCAGCGGGGAGGAAGGUGCUGAGGUUAAUAACCUCAGCAAUUGACGUUACCCGCAGAAGAAGCACCGGCUAACUCCGUGCCAGCCGCCGCAGUAA